rnacentral:lncRNA from 1 species
CCAUGUGUUCCACCCCGGUGCAAGGCAGGCACUGUCCUCUCAGUUCAUUCUAACAAUCGCCUUGUGAAGGAAACGUACUCUUACUCCUUCUGCAGAUGUGGAGACAGAGGCAGAAAAAAAGCCAUGCCCAAAGUGACACAGGUUUGAACUGAAACAUUAGCUCUUCCUGGGUCUCAAGCCUGUGGGCCUCCAGACUGGAAGUACACCGUUGGCUCUCCUGGGAUCUCCAGCUUGCCAAUUUACCCUGCGGAUCUUGGGAUUUGCCAGCUGCCAUAAUUUUGUUGAUGAAAUGAAAAAAAAAUGCAAGGCUGAGUAUGGAAAGACUGUGUAAAUGGAGUUCUCAUUCAGUGUUGCGGCCAAGGAGAACUCUGCACAUGACAAGACAGAGACUUCCUUUGGGUCUGUCAUUUGGUGCUUCUGUCAAUAAGUUCAUCAUCAUGUCAUUAGCUUCUCUAAGGAUGUCCGGGAUCUGAAGGAGAAGCCCCCCAAUAUUGACAGCCUUAGAGAAGGAGCAGUCUUCAUUCUGAAGGUAAUCUGUUUUUACUCACUGAAUAAUUGCUAGAUAAAUCCAGUCUCAUUCUGUAAUAACCCACUAAACAGGUUAUGAAAUAGAUGUUUAUGAGUCGUCUCAGGCUCAAUUCCAACCAGUUGUUAGAGAGGCUUUUAAAAGCAUGUGCAUACUGUAUCAUGGCUGUUAAACUGAAUGUUCAUUACUAUUAUUCAAUCUGCCAAAAAUUGUCACUUAAUUUAAUAAUAUGAUGAAAACCUAAAAAGAAUUAACAUGGCUUAUUCUAUAAUGUCUGUUCUCUCCCACCACUCCACAGAGUCCCUCUUUCUUUGGACGCCCUUAAUAUUUCAGGUAUAAGUGAAUCUUAUACACCCACAGCCUCUCUGUGACCUUGUUACAGUACAGCUGAAUAAGGCUGCUAGUAGAAGUCUGUAAUUCUAGACUUUAUCCAGGAGAAGUUAACUACUGAAUUUUAAAAAGACCUUCUUCUUAACUAUAUGGAAGGCAUGAAUCCAACAGCUGCAUUGAAUUAGUCUUUUGUACAGAUUUGUUAUGCAUAAGUAAAAUCUCUAUCAACAUUUGUUUAUUGAUUGAUACACGUAGAAGAUACAGCUAAUAUUUUAUGAAUACUUUAUAUGAAUGCAUUAGUUGUCUAUUACUGCUUAAGAAAUUACCAUAAUUUCCAUGCUUAAAACAACACACUUUUAUUUAUUAUCUGUUAGUUUCUGUUGGUCAGGAGUUCAAGCUGGGUCCUCUGCUCAGGGACUUAUAAGGCUGCAAUCAAGGUGCCAGCUGGGCUGUGUUCUCAACUGGAGGCUCACUUACGGAAGAACCUGCAUUCAAGCUCACUUAGGCUCUUUCCAUAUGGCUUUAUGACUGAAGGCCCUGGCUUUUACUGAUGGUCAGCUGGAGGCCAUGCUCAGAUCCUAGAGGCUGCCCACAGUUUCUUCACGUAAGGCCCACUUCAGAGACAGUGCACAACAUGGCUAUUUAUUUCUGCAAGGCCAGGGGUGAAUCUUUCUCUCUCCUCUCCCAAAAGGAAGACUUAUGUAAUCGAACUUAAUCAUGGGAAUGAUAGCCUAUCAUCUUUCACAUAUUCCAUUGGUUAGAGGCAAGUUGCAAGUCACCCACACUCAGGAGGAGUGAAUUAUACAGAGUCUAACUGCACGAGGCAGAGAUCAUUGGGGCAUGGUAGAAUUCUACCUACCAAAAUGAAUAACCUCAUUUAUCCUCACAAUAGCUCUACAGGGCAAGUUCUGUUAUUAGUAUCUAGAGACGAGGAAGCAGGGGCAAUUUGCAGAUCCGUGAUAACCCACACAGAUGAAACUGUCUGAGCAAGUGUUGGAACCCUUGUAUUUGGCUGGAAAAACUGAGACUUUAACCACCUGCAUUCAAACCAUAUUUAUUUUUCUGCUUUAAAUAACAGAGUGAAGACAUGUUAUUUGUUGUAUGUUGGACUCUGUUCCAAAACAUACAUUUCUCUUUUCAUCCUGACAUCAAGCCCAGUAGGAAGCUGUUACAAUCUCUAUUUUACAGAAAAGAAAGUCUAUGCUUAGAAAGGUUUUUCUUUUGUGACUUUGGUCAAGUGACUUACCUCUCAGAGCCUCAUCCUAUUCACCUGUAGCGAUAAUACAGGACUGACCCAGAUUAUUAACUUGGUAAAUACUAGUUAGUUUUGUUUCUAAGACUGGUAAAUUUCACCUAAGUCUCUAUCUUUAAAGAUGUAAAAUUUAACAGUGUGAGAGUAGAACAAGUUAUUUUUAAGCACCUGUGUUUCUUCUGCCUCUAGUUGGUUCCCCUUCUGGUGUCCAGGAAAAUUCUGUACCAGCUUCUCUGCUCCUGAUGACUUCUUAUUUCAGGGCUACUCUUCUUAUCUUAGUCCAACAAAGGCCUCUCUGAGGUCAACCAAAACCUGAGUGAGUCUCAUGGACAUUGUAUGUCGCAUGUUCCUCUGGGGAACCUGAGUGCUGUCUGUCCCCAUCCUCAGCCUCAUCCUUUCCCUCUCCCCUUUCCUCUUUUGCCUUCCCCACUGGGGUCGGGGGGCGAGACUGUAGGUCUUCAUCUCUGUUUCCUGCUUUCCUCUGCAAUAGGACUCAAUGACUGUAGGUUAAAUAGAGAGCUUUGUCUCUCAGUGAGAGGUGUUCCAAUGGGUGGAUGCUCUGAUGCCAGUCCUUUACUAGGCUCUACAGAUAUAGAGAGUAAUGGGAAGUAGCCUCUGUCCUCCAAGUCUACAGGAGAAGAAAUUAGAAAACCUUUUCUAAGCACAGCAAAUUGUCCAGGAGUUUCCUCAAGGUUAACAAGGAAACGGAGAGCAGAGAUUGAUGACCAUAAGGAUUUCUAGAAAGGCAUUCAUUUUGGCACUAGGCAGCCUGGGCUGUAAUCCCAGCUCUGCCUCUUGCUAGCUGUAUGAGCGUGGCCAAGAAAUUGCUUAACCUCUGGGCCUCGGUUUCCUCACUCAGUUUCACUCAGUAAGAGAGGAAUAAUAGUAAUUUCUCUCUCAAAUAUUAUUGUGAUACCCAAAUGAUGAAAUCAUACAAUAAGAGUGCAUGAUGAACUGAAAAAUGCUCUGCAAGUGGGAAUUAAGAUAUAAGACUGAGAUAAAUUGUAGAAAAGCAAAUAAUUGAGAAAAUCUUAACCUUGGAAAAAUCCAUGACAUUCACAUUUUAUCCCAAAGUAAUUAUCACCUCAUCAUCUUUUCUUUCUUUUCCAAGGCAAAUCUUUUAAAAAUUAUGAUCAUACCAUGUGCAUAUGAUUUUCAAGGGUGGAAAAACUUGUUUUGAAACCACAAACCAUCUUAUUAUUAUUUUUUCGAGUAGGAGGCAUGAGAAUGUUGUUGUGUGAGGUGAAACACUGCCCACAUCUGGAGACAUAAUUUAGGCUUCCCAUUUAUAGCUUCCGUUGUGGUUAUUCAAAUCCGAGGCCAUGUUAGAAGAGUCAAUGAGAGUCCAAGAAAACAGAAAACAUUUUAAGCACCUCCUAUUUAAUCAAUUGCAAUAGCCCAUAAUAGAAUGUUCAUCCUCAGAAGGAAGACUCUUGUGGGUAUUUAGUUAAAAUAAGGGAAAAUAGUAAUGCAAUUUGUGGGAGGAAUCCAGUGUGGCAAACCUUUGGUUUUGGAGAAAAAAUUAAAUUAGUAUUGCUCAUCUUGUCAUUGUCAACAAAUUGAGUCUGGGUAAACCCCACACUGUUUUCUAUGGACCAAUGACAGAUGAGCCAAAUGCAUGUUUUGUUUGUUUUGCUUCAGUCUUGUCAAAAAAAAUUUUUUUCUGAUCAGACUCUAUAGUUGGUUCUGGUUUCACCAAGCUUUUUAUUAUAUAUUUUCAUUGUUUAUUUUAUCAACAGAAAGUGAUUUUUAUUCCAUCUUUGAUACAAAUGCCAAAACAAAAAAUUAUUUUGUCCGUAUUGUACUUUCCCCCACCUCCAACCCUCUUAUGAAGAAAAUAGAAUAAUUCAAAUUCGAGUUUCUUCGAGAUUCAUCAUGCUCAUCAGUGGAGGAAACAUAGAAACGCUCACAGUAGCCCCUCACUAAACUGGAGAUCAGCUUGGGUUAAUGAAGGAAAGAAGUCUAUUUUGUUUUGUUCUAAUCUGUGUUUAACCCAUGGGUUGUCUGAUGAAUUAAGGUGGUUUAAUAUGAACUUGAUUUGGGGGCAGGAUGAAGAAAAAACUCACCCAGGGAAAGCAGGACGUGACUGAAAAUGUUGGACCAACUGGGAGCAGGCAUGGGGAUUCCUUGGGCUUUGGGUAUAAAAGACAGUUCAGCGUUAGUCAAAGAAUCUGGACUAAUCUUGUCUAAUGAGAAAGACUAGGGGAAAGUUCGGACUCUCAAAUGUAUAGUCAGAGAACAAGAAUGAACUUAGUAAUUCCCUUAGUUCUAGAAAUUUCCCUGAUACAUUGUCUUCCACAAAAGAGUCAUAAACUGUCAACUUUUUAAUUUUUGAGGAAAACACAGCAAGGAUCAGCUGAAGGUAGGAGGGCAUUGGGCAGAUGCACUGAUAAUGACUGCCAUGCAUUGGAAAUUUACUGUGAGCCAAAUAUGUUUAUAAAGAACGUAAAGAGCAUAUUUUAUUCACUCCUUGGGGGCUGGCCCGCUGAUGCAGGGGUCAAGUUCGCAUGCUCCACUUUGGCAGCCCGAGGUUUGCGGGUUCAGAUCCCCGGCAUGGACAGAUGCACCGCUUAUCAAGCCAUGCUAUAGCAGGCGUCCUACAUAUACAGUAGAGGAAGAUGGGCACAGAUGUUAGCUCAGGGCUAAUCUUCCUCAAAAAUAAUUUUAAAAAAUUAUCCUGUUUGACUUGCACUAGGAAGAAGGUAGUCGUGUUUCCCAAUUUUAAUGAUUAGGAAACACAGACCAGAGAGGUAAAGAACAUUGUACAAGUCACAGAUGUAGUCAGCAACAGCACUGAAGGCUUGACCUCCCUGGAUCCAGAGACCCAGCUCUUAACCGAUAUUCUGUAUGUCCUCCUAGCGGUUUAAGCCUGCUUUGCCUCACUGGGGAAAGAACUCUUUUUUGUGUAGAUUACUCCUUUAUGUAGAAACACAACUUAUGUCAUAAGAACAUUUUAAUUUUCCAAAGUCUGGUAUCUUCCAUUUGGGUCUCUUUCUACUGGCUACCAAAGCCAUUCCAAGGAUAUAGAAUUAAUUUUCCCUUCUAUGUCUCCUAUUUGCAUUUUGCUUAUUCAGCUGCUCUUCUGCAGGGUCUCAGUGUUAUGAAAGAAUAUUUUGUUCUCCCCUAUACAACUGCAAACGUCUAAGUUUUUAGGAAGCAAGAUUACUGUAGUUACCUCAUAUUAAGCUAUCAUCUCUCAGUAUCUCAACACCAAACAAUCUCAACACCAAACACAUCCUUCUGUAUUCUUCCUUUUAAUGCCAGGGCUGAGAAACUUGCAAACUAUAUUUCUACUCUGCUAACUAUUAGGAUCUGCCAUUACAGGGUGCUAUAGCAAGACUUGAAGGUAGAACAGGGCAGAAAGGAUUGGUUCUUUUAUCUUGUUAUGCCUUUCAGUGUGGCCCCAGCAAUGAAUCUCAAUUGCCCUAGGAAGAAACAGAGCGUCCGCUAGCCCUGAUGACUGCAUCUGCUGCCUGUAGGUGCUGUCUGUUUAACCUGAAUGUUACCUGCUUUCUUUUUCAGUUCUCUGACACCUACUUCACAAAUUCCUAAUACUAAAUAUGGAAGUACUAGUGUGGUUUCUGUUUUUCUGAUUGGACCCACCUUUUCAGGGUCUGUAGUAAAUUAAAGAAUCUUCAAAUGUUGUCAAGUCCAAAUUCUGACACAGCAGAGAGGUGAUCUAUUAGGACUGGAUGUCCACUCAUGGGCAACUCUCAUUACACAAAGUUUCUAGAGCACUGUGUUUGAGGGAAGUAUGAGGUUAUAUGGGAUUCUAUGGGAGAGAAGUUUGUGUUUACUCAAUGGCAUCUGCUGUUGAUGUUAUCAGGCAGAGCUGUAUAUCUCAGCCUAGAACACAGAUUCCUUAUGUGAACUUACGAGGAUGAGUUCUUUCUCCCAUUGUAAUUCUUUUUUGUUGUGUCACUUGGACAUGUAAUAACAUCUUUGAGAUUUAGUUUACUAACCAAUGAGAGGAGGCCAGGCAUAUGUGCCCUCAUCCCCACUGCAAUUCAGAGGGAUUUUCAAGGGAUAGAUCCACUCAUUUCAUUCAUUCAUUCAUUCAAUUCUUUAAUACAUUAAUUCACUCUCCCAUCAUUUCUCCAUUCACCCAUGCAUCCAUUCUUUCCUUCAUUUUAUUUACUUUAUUUGUUCAUUGUUCUGAGAUUCUCAUUUGUCCUCAACACUAUGCUAGACUGGGAGAUAUAAGAUGAGGAAAAAAAUGGACUUCCACUUCUAGGGGUUGUAUAGAGAAGUGGGGAAAUUUUGGUUGAAUUAAAUCUGGAAGAUAAAAGGAGGAAAUAGGAUAACAUUCAGUAGAAAGAAUGUCUUUCAGGGAGAGAAAAGCUGAUGGAAUGAUGCAAAGUUGCUGAUAGAUGAAAGGAUAGGGCAUGGUCAGAAACUAAGUAGUUUGUUUAAAGCUGGGGAGUGCCAGGAAGUGAGAAUGCUAAGGUGAAGUAGAUAGAUUGCAAUGGGCUCUUUUAAAGGAAGGAGAGAAAUAUAUCAAUGUCGUUAUGUGUGCGUAUGUGUGUGUUAUUUUUAAAGCCUAUUGUGGACUCCAUGAAAAUUAAGGUUAUUAAUAUUCAACAAUAGCUACUAUCUAACAGAGAUAUUAGAGAAUAUGACUCAUGUUCAAUACUAAAUGUAAAUGUAGGUAAAAUUGCUAUUGUACUGGUCAAAAGCCCCGGACCUCCACUCAUUUCCACUAACCAUCUAAAAUAGUGAGUGGUUCAAUCAGUUGAUGAGUAUCCAUCAUUCAUUCAUUCAACAAACACUUUUUCCUAUCUACAAUUUGUAGGUCCUUCUAAUAGAUCCCAGAAUUAUGACAGCAAACAAGAUCCUUUUUUCUCUAAGCUUAUGGUCUAGCUGUGGAAACAAAUGAUUAAAUGUGGAAUUUCAGGAAGAUGUGAUAAGUAAGUAUUAUUUUAGAGUAAGAAUGGUGUGCUUUGGGAGGAUAUAAGAAACAUCAUUUAAAAUAGUCUUGAAGCUCAGAGAUGGUUCCUGGAAAAGGUGACAUGAACUUAGACCUACGGAUUUAGUAAGAGUUCAUCAAAAAGAGGCACUGGGAACUAGUGUUUCAUGUAAAGGCAACAGCACAUGUGAGGUAUGGAGUUGGCGAGCGCUUAGUGUUUUGAGGACCUGAAAGAAGCCUAUUAUGACCGGACUAAGGAUGCUAAGGGAAGGGCUGCAGGGGCAUGCAGGGGACAAAACUUACAGGGCUUUUAUGCAAAACGAGGGAUAGACUUUAUCCAAUGAGUAACUGGAAGUCCUUGGAUGGUGCAAGUGGCAAAGAUAUGAUCAGAUUUGCAAUCUGGUUGAAUUAUAGACAAUUAAUCAGAGGGAAUUCAAUGAAAGCAGGUAGACUUGUGAGGGGUAUUAUGGUAGUGCCCUAGUCUGGGGCCACUUCAUUUGAGAGGGAAGUGGAACCAUUUCGGAGAUGGACUUCUCUGGGGAGAUCUUCGGCUGAAUAUAGAGAUGUACAUAGAUAGGUAGGUAGAUUGCUGAAUGGUCAGUAAAAUCAGAUGAGGAAUGCCUGUUAAUUUUAAAAUGCAUUCAUAUGUGGUCCUGUAUGACAUGAUAGUACAGGGUAAUGAAUAGGAGACAGUGAAAGUAGACAACUAUUUUAAGACUGGAUAUGAAGAGAUAGGGGAUGGGUAUAAGGAGUGUUAGCUGGAAGGGGAUAAGAUGCAAUGGAACCCGUUUGUUUCAGGUGGACAAACCUGAGAAUGUUUACCUCUUGUUGGGGAGAAAUAAGCAGGAGAGGAGAUUGGAAAAUAUAUUAGAGAAGGGGAGGGAUAAUUGAUGGAUAAGGCUCUAAGAAAAUUGAAGGUAACAGGAUUAAAUUUUUCAUGACAGAGGUGACACUAAUCCCACUGUCGCAGAAAGGAGGAAGAGUGCAUGGAUAAAGAGGGCUGGUUCUCAGGAGUUUCAUUAUUGGUUUGUUUUUGUUGCUUAUGGUGUCCUCAUGAGAUAGUAAAUGAGGUAAUCUGCUUAGAAAAGGAAAGGAGUUGGAGGGCUAGUCAGUUGAAAAUGGUGGGUUGGAAAUAAGUUAGGUUGAACCUUACAAAAUUUGCAUGUAUAUGCAUAAGAGAAAAGAUGAAGAUUGUAAAGUGUGUCUCAAUAAAUAAGUACUUCUGAGCCCAGCAACUUUUCCCUCCUAAGAGUUUACUAAGCUUUCCUUCUUUCUUUGUUUUCUGCCUUCCUUGUUUUCUCUUAGCCAAUUAGUAAUACUAAAGCUUUCAUCACUUUAACAAAAAAAGUUAAGUACAGUUUUAGAGUUUUAAGUAGACUCUAUUCUCCUCUUGUGAGCAUAGUAUUAACUGAUGCAUUAUGUCAGAGCAUUGGGAAACCAAUUCUGUGUGUUUUUAUUAUCAUUGGUAACUUCUCAAAAAAAUGCUAAAUCUGCCCCAUUUAUAGAACUGAAAAGAUAUUAAUGUGAUUAUUUUUACACUAUUGCUAUGACUUGCUUUUUGUUUUACAUAAAAAACAAAUAAGCCAGAAACAUAUAUAUAUAACUGAGAAAGCCUGAACUUAUAUAUCUUUCAUUGAUAUAUCCACUUACCAAUUCAUCCAUUAUUUAAUAAACAUCUCUCUGUAAGGACUGUCCCAGGUACCAAGAAGGCAACACACAUCAGCCAUAGUCCCUGUUUCAAGAGCUUUCAGUCUAGUUUGGAAAACAGGCUAAAUGGUGAAACAUUAACAACCAAUUAUAAUACAAUAUGCUAUAUGCUGCGUAUGUAACAACCCCACAUGCAGUAUUCUUUGGGCAAUGCCUCCCUGGGAGAGUUGCAGAAUGCUUCACCGGGUCUAGGGUGAUGAGUAAAUAGGCGUUUCCUGUCUCCAACUCUGUUUCAUCCCCUCACAACACACCAAACACAAGAGAAGUUGUGCUUACCACAUAAGAAGUCCCCUACAGGGACCCACUAUCUCAGUAGGCAGCAACAACCACCCAGGUUGGAAGCUGGAAGAUUGACAAGUGGGAAUUUCAAGAUGUUUAAGAGUUAUCUGAAGGGAUAAUAAUAGUCAUCAUUUAUUGAGAACUUCUCUGUGGCAAACAUCAUGAUUAGGUGCUUUAGGUGCAUUACAUUUUCCUCACAACAACAAUCUCAUGAGGGAGAAACAUCUAUCAUCCGCACUGUUCAGAUGAAGAAACUGAUAUAUGUAUGCAUUUGAAAUAUAUUUUCUAAGGUCGAAAGGAUAAUGACAAGUUGUGUCAGGGUUAAAACCUAGGAGUCAGAGGAAAGCACCCAUUGUCUUCUCCAUGAGGCCACAGAUGCCUUCCUGUUGUCUUUUUGCAUAACUUAAGGAUGACAACUUGGUCCAAAACAGUACAUCACAACAGUUUGGUCAAAUUAGAAUUUAGUUAAAAUUAAAAUCCCAGCCUCUCAUUCUCCAAGUGCAGUAUUGAUAAUUUUCAUGUCCUAUGGAAUACAUUAAAAAUAUUAAUGCUUUCUUAAUAACUUUGUCUUUUUUCAGAACUUUUAGUAUUUUUCUACUAUGUUUCUUUUUCAAUUUUAGGUGAUUUUCAGCCAUAGAUUGAUUCUCUAUUCAUUAAGUAAAAUAGAGUGAAAGAACAUUAACGUUCAAUAGUAAGAGAUUAGUUGGAACACCCCAAAUAACCUUCAACAGAAUUACUUUAAUGCUUUCUUACUGGAUCUUUUAUUACAUUUCUUUUAUUUUUUCUUAUUAAGAAAAGUAUCAAACUCAUUGAAUAAAAAUCUGAAAAGACAUUCAUAAUCUCCCCCACUUUGACUUCUACUGUUAAAGCCAUUAUAUACAUCUAAGAUCUUCCCAGCUCUCUCUCUAUAUAUCAUUUUACUGUAACAAUGAGAUUUAAUAUGAAUACUCUUUCCUUCUCUUCCACAAUUAUAUCAGGCCCCUAAAUAAUUCUUUUGCUUUUAGGUUAUUCCCACUAUUCAAUACCACAAACUACCCAGAACAGAAAUAAUUGGCAAAACAUGAUUUAGAAACGGACUAGCAGAAAAGUAGAACUCACGUGGAACUUUCUGAGAAAGGCAUAUUUUUAAACACUGAUAACCUUACAAUGCCCCAGAGUUACCAAUUCUGUUUUGGCAAAGCUAAUUACUAGGGAUAUUUUAAAAAUCACCUUACAUUUCAAUAAAUGACUGUAGCAAGGGAGUGGCACGGACCAUCUGCAGCUACCCACCUCCUCCUUCCAGGGAAGGUGGAGGCCAAAGACAUGGUCCACUUUAACUUUCCAGCCAUCUAGGUGUAAACAAAGAUCAUUUUGGGAGAUGUUUGUUUCCCUGGGGGCAUCCUUGACUCCUUGCUUUCCUCACUCCACAUCUAACUUCUCAGAAAAUCCUUUCUACUCUGUGUUCCAGACCUGGUCCCUUCUCAGCACAUCCAUACUUAUCAUCCUAUGUCCAGGACCUGGUCCCUUCUCAGCACAUCCAUACUUAUCAUCCUAGUACAAGCCACUGUUAUCUCUCGUAGUUGGUCUCCUUGCUUCCAGCUUGCCCCCUUACAGUCUGGUCCACACAUGGACCAGAAGGAUUCUAUUAAACUCUAGGUCAGAUAUUCAACUCCUGUGUUCAAAUGACCUUUCAUCUCAUUCAGAGAAAACACCAAGUACUCCCAUGGCAAGCGACACCCCACAGUAUCUGCUCUCAACCCCAUUCCAUCUCUGACCUCAUCUCCUAAUACUGUCCUCUUUAUUUGUUUUACUCCUGCAACAUUGGGAUCUGGCCUUUCCUCAAACACAUGAGGUGUUCUCCUGAAUCAGAGUCUUUGUGUUUUCUUUAACACAUUCCUGGAAUGCUCUUUUUCAUGUGGCUUAGUCUCUCAUGGCCUGCAAGUCUUGCUCAGAUCUCACCUCCACAGUAAAGUCUUCCCAUGAGGACUCUUCAGUUGCAACUUUCCCACCUCCCUAGCCUGUUGCCCUGCUUCAUUUUUCUCUUUAGCACUUCUUAAUAUCUUUCAUGUUGCAUGUUCAAUUGAUUGAAUGGUUUAGCCAGUCUCCCCCCAAGCAGAAUGUAAGCUCUAUGAGGACAAGAAUUUCUGUUGUUUAGUUCUGUGCUUCAGUCCCAGUCACACAAAGUAGAUAUCAACACACCUUUCUCGAAGAAGUAGCCUCCUUUCCUCACCUCCAUCUGUACAAGGCUCCCUCUGCUGUUACGACCCAUCUUGUUGUCUGUGCAGGGCAAAUUGUGUGGGGAUGGAGAGAACUGGCACAAGUUACCAAGGUGCAGUGGGAAGGAGGAUAGGGAUAAAUUCCAUGUGAAGAGUUUUAGUCAAUCUGCUUCCCCUGGGGAGAUCAACAUUUUUGUCACCAAGACCCAAGCCUUGUCUCAGCAGCCUUGACCCAUGUCUUGUAAUGUCUUUGUUUGUGUCCAUUUGAAAAAGAGGGAAAUUAUUGCUCAUAUUCUUAACGGAAUAGUAUGCUGCUGCUAAAAAUGUUUGGAAGGAAUGAGUAAUCCACAGAAACAGGGUUAUGAAAUUAAAAGAAAAAAACAGUAGUUAAGAACUUUUAUUCUGGAUCAAAACAAUAAAGUUCGAAUCCUUUUUAGCUGUUUGAACUUAAGUAUGUUUCUUAACUUCUCUAGGCCUGUAAAUGCUGAUUAUAAUAGCACUUACCUAAUAGAAAGGGCUGGGUGAUAGAAUGAGAGAAUUCCUGGAAAAUGCAUAGCACACAAUACUCAAUGUUCAAUAAUUGAAAACUAUUGUCAUUAUCACUAUAAUUGUACCAAGUGAAUAAAAGCAGGGUGCAAAAUUGAAUGUAUAGCAUGAAGUGACCAAAUAAAAUAAAGUCCAUGUUAGCACAAGGGUUUUGAACCUCUGCAUUGGAGCUGAUGGACUUGCACCCUCUCACUGAUUCACACUCCACCUCAACUAGUCAGUUUCACAUUAUAGCAUCUGCCACUUGCACCAACCAGAUGACAAUUCUGGUAUCAUUCAGCUUUCUUUCAGUUGUGACAGACACACAAACUGAAUUAAUCAAAAAGAGGAUUUAUUGGCUCAUAAAAAUUGGGAAAUCUACUGGGCAGAGCUGGUUUUAAGCAAAUUUAGAGUGAGGCAUCCAAAUGAAAUGAUGCUCUCAGGAUUAUUUCUUUCCUUCCCUUCCUCUCUCCCUCCCUCUCUUCCUCUUCCUCCUCCUCCUCUUCUUCUUCUUUUCUCUCUUUCUCUCCCUUUCUUUCUCUCUUUCUCCAAGCACUGCUUGUCUCAGCUUGGAUUUAUUUUCAGACAGACUUUCCCCCACAUGAAAGCAGGAACCUGAUGCAGAGACCUUGUGUUUCAGAGUAAGGCACCCUUUCCAAUAGCUCUAACCGAAGUCCCAGAGUGGUCUUCUAUUGUCUGGACUUGGUUCACGUGGCUGUGCUGAACAAAUCACCGUGGCCUGGGCACAGAUCACUUGGGCUCACUGAGCUCACUUAGAGGCCAGGGGAACAGAGUGAGGCCCAUUGGACCACAAAGAUAUUUUAUUGUUGUUAUAUAAAAGGAGGGUUGGUAACUUCAAAGAAUUACUGAAUAGACACAGAGAAAAAAAAUUGGAAGGAAAUUCUGCAUAAUGUUAGUAUUGAUUAACAUGGAACUCAUGACAGAUGAUUUAUUUUUAUUUCUAUUUCUUAAAAAACAUUCCAAAUGAUCUUUAGUCAUGAUGUGUUAUUUUUAUAAUUGCAAAGAAAAAGGAAAAAAUGGUCCUUAAGAGUUGAGUGAGCUGGUGAGCUCAUCAAAUGGUGUGUGGAUAGGUACAUGUGACCCAAGGACUCUCUUUGGCCCAGCCUCAGACACAGCUGCACAUAGACUGGACUUUUAAGCAAUCAGCCCUCAUCUGGAGCAAAGGCUGUCAUGUGCAUGCAAUAUGUCAUCUCAUCCCUGAUGCUUCAGUUUAUGGGGAAACCAUGUAGUCGUGUUCAAACUUCCAGACAUUGAUAAUCGUGUGGAAAGAAUCCUAGACAAGCAGCCAGGAGACAUGGGUGGCUGUUUCAGAUCUGUCCCUAACAACUGUGUCAGGUGCCAGCCACUUCUUGGCUGCAGGUCCCACAUCUAUAAUCAGAAAGUUUAUUUUCAGCUUUAACAAUCUGUGAUUAUUAUUUGCGUUUACCGAUGGAGUAACUAAUUACUUCAUUAUAGGAUUUCUCAAGACCAGUUACCUCCUGUUUGGUUCAAUUAGCAAAACGCCAAUGUGAUUGUCAUUGAUUUUGAUGGUUUGGCUGCCAGGAGAAAAGCCCAAUGGGGGAAUAUUUCAGGAUCUUUAGCAGAUUUUCUGUUUAUAUUCCAAGGUAGUAUAUAGGAACAGAGCUUGUGCUUCAUUUUUCAAAAUUCUUGUUUAAAAAAUGCUCACACCCCAUCAUUCUCUUCCACUCUGCAGAUGCCCCAGGACUCUUUCACUUUUCCCUUUUAGUUUAGAGGCAGAGAAGAUAAACCAAACAAUAGUCGAGACUGGCUAGAACUGAACCUUUGCUUUUUUCCCUGAACAGAAUCACAGGAUAUUAGACAAAAGGUGAACCUCAAAGAUUAUUCAAUAUAACCCUGUUGGAUUUAGAGGAAACAUUUGCUGAGCAUCUUAACAUAUAUACUACAGAAAGAACAUAUACUGCAGAGUCAAGCAGAGUAUUGAUUGAAUCCUUGCUCUUUCGCUUACAAAUGUGUGACCUUUGAAGAAUUUCUUAAUUUUUCUGAAUCAUAUAUUUAUUAUUCUUUUUUAAUCUUUAAAAUGGGAACAAUAAUAACACCCACCUUGUAGCCUGUAUGGAUGUGGUAGACAGAAUAACGACCCCCCUACACACACCAAAAAUAAUCUAUAUGCUAAUCCCCAGACCCUGUGAGCAUAUUACCUUACAUGGCCACAGAGACUUUGCAGAUGGAUUAAGUAAGGGAUUUUAAGAUGAGAGAGUAUCGUGGAUUAUCCAGGCUGACUUGACGUAAUCGAAAGAACCUUUGUAAGUAAAAAAGCGAGGUGAGAGAGUCAGAGUCAGAGAAGGAGAUGACAAAGGACAGACAGGUUGGAAUGAUUCUGUGGGGUGGUGGGGUGGAGUAGGGGGCUACAAGCCAAGGAAUGAAGGUGGCCUCUGAAAACUGGAAAGGCCACUUAAAACCUCCAGAAGGAACAGAGCCCUGCUGACCAAGUGCAGACUUCUGACCUCUAGAACCGUAAGAUAAUAAAUCUGUGUUGUUUUAAGCCACCACCUUGUGAUAAUUUGUUACAGCAGCAAUAGGAAACAAAUACAGUGGAGAUUAUUGUGUAUACAGAUGGCCUGGAACAACACUACAGUGAGUAGGUGCACUGAAUGCUGCUGUUUUUGCUGCAGUUAUGGUUAUUGUUGUUUCUCUUCCCCUUCCUAUUCUUUUCCUAUUUCUGUCUUCUCCCUCAUCCUUUUUUCCUGUUCUCUUCCUCCUCAUCCUCUUUCUUUCUUCUUCCUUUUUCUCUCAUUAAAAAUAACAGGAAAGAAAGAAAAGAGCCAGCAUUCAAUAAGGACCUCCUAUGUGUCAGGCACCAUCAUUGGUGAUUUCACAUUCACAACCUAAUUCAAUCUGCCAACCCAUUGAAUAAGAUUUCAGUAUUUCCCUUUUACAGAUGAAGAAACCAAGGUCUACUGAAGUCAACUGAGCUGCUUCCAGACUCACUGAGAGUUAGUGACUAUCCCAAGGCUGUCUGUUACUCUGUGCCUCCCUCAUCAUUAGCAGGCUCACUUCCAUUCCAAAAAAGAACUGUUGACCUGCAUCCUAUGUGACCUGGUUGACCAGAGCUAGACUGGGCAAGAAAUUCCAUCACCAUGGCAACAAUGCUAUAUGCUGGGUUGAGGCAUGGUACCCUGCUGAGCCAGGGUGCAGAUGUCAGGGAGAGAUGCUGUGCCCCACGAAGGUGCUGCCAUCUGUCUGAAGACAUCCCUCUGCUCAGAACAGCAAAUAGCUCAUCACACCCCUACCAUUUCAAAUGAGCCGUCCCUUGCUCAGUUCAGGGGAAAAUAAGAAUGACCACCAUUUAUCAAACACCUACUGGGUGUCAGGCAUUGUGCAAGCUUUUUUUUCUCUGAUACAUAUUAUAAUUCUGUGAAGUGGAUAUUGUUUUCCCCAUUUAUAGGGAAAAAACUGAGGCUUAGAGGGGAGAAUGGCCUUGCCCAUUCACAUGUGAAACAGCAGGCUGGAGUGAAGCCAGGUGUGCUCAGAGACUAAGGCCAGGUCUUCCCCAGCUAGUCACACUGCUCCUCACGCCAAGCAAAGACAGUCACAGUGGGUCCCCAAAGGCCUUGAGUCUAAUCUGGCACUGUGUUUAUUUAUUUCCUUUUCCCUCUUGCCCCUUUCACUGCCUCUCUCUUCUUGGGUCGCCAGAUCAUUUGACAGUUUUACGUAAGCACUGGCACCAGGGCCUGGGGUGGGGAGCAUGGGACAUCUUGGUAGAAUGAAGAAUCUACAGAGCUGAGGAGGGAGGAUUGAGCAAGUUAGAGGAGAGGCCCGGCCCAGGGCCCAGAGGGAUAGUCCUCUACCUCCACCACAUGCCUGGCAGCAUGCCUGUGGACUUCUCUGCUUGAAGACUCAAUAAUUUCUGUGUAGAUAGAAGGCAGUGUGGUUAGGAGGGCAAGAGGCCAGCUUCAGAACUGGACAGAUAUGGACUUUAGGCUCACCUCUGCAACUCAGGAACUUUGUGGCCUUGGGCAAGUUGAGUCACAUCUCCAAGUCUCAGUUUCCUCUUUUGUAAAAAGUGUUUGACAAUACAAGCUGGAUCAUGUCAUAGAAUUGUGAGGACCCCACAGCUGGAAGGGGCCAUAGAGGCCAGCUUACUCUACAUGGCAUUCAGGUCCGUGUCUAAAAUUCUUUCACGUAAAGCAUGUUGCUUCUGUGGGAUCAAAUAUGGUAGGCAGUAAAUGGUUGUGCUGAUGCCAACGUCAGGAGGUGACGCAUUAAGAGGAGUUUCCUUGGAGCUUCUCUUUUGCUGCCUUCCAGGAGGGCUUUCCGCAUCUGGUUAUACCAGGACACAGACAACUCCAGGACUCCAUCUGAGAUCUCGUUCCUCACUCUGAGAUUCUUGUUUCAAGCACAUAAAAUGGCAUAAAGGUACUUACUAUCAAACAUGAAUGAAGCACACUAGAUUAAUUGAUAAGCUCAUAAAAUAAGAUUCUUAAAUGAAACCAUUAGAGAAUGUAGAAAUUCCCCUAGACUUUGUUUAAUGGGCUUAUCUAGAGCUGAAGUAGGCAAAAAGUUUAAGGUACCUCCCAUUUCACAAAGAAAAGGGAAGCUGUCAGGUCUGAAAUCCCACCCAUACCUUCUUAUUUUCAGCAUCAGAAUGAGAGAUUUCCCUUUGGCAAAUUUCCCUUUGGGUAACUUCACCUCUUUCCUGGGCUCUUACUUAACUUGCCUUCUCAUUUCUUUCAGAUUGUUCUUCCAUAAUGAUUUCAUCUCUCUCCAGUUCCUCACUAGAUAAUCUUUUAACAGGCAACCAGUCUAUACAUUUUUAUGCCUGCCAUAUGGUAGGCAUGCCUGAGACACUGGUGAUACAAGUGCAAAUUAGUCCUUGUUCUCAAGGAGGCUAUAUUUAAGAGGGGAGAGACAGACAACUCUAAACAAGUCUAUGACAUGCAGUGUAACAUCAAGUAGUACAAAGUGUGAAGAAGAAAAUUAAAACAAGGUGGGUGGCAGCAGCAGGGGGCUGGGGUGGCAAUAAUGGGGGUGUUGGUGGCAAAGGUAGGGAUGGUGGUGAGCGUGAUGGUAGUAAUAACAUUGGGAGUGAUGUUGGUGACAGUGGGGGCAAUGGAGGUAGCAAUGAUCAGGGGAGGUGGUAGUGACUGUGGGGGUGGGAACGGGGGCAUUAGUGGUAGAAGGCUAUUUUAGAUUAGGUAGUCAGUGAAGUUCUCCAUGAGAAAAUAUUUGAGUGGAGAUCUGAAUCAUAAGGAGCUAGAUUUGCAAAAAUCUAAGAGGAGAGCAUUCCAAGCAGGGAAAAUGAAAAUGCAAAAGGCCCUGACGUUUCAUUGCCCCCUACUUUGUAUACUUCAAGUUGUGAUUCACAUCAUCUCUAUGGCUCCUUGGGGGACUGAGCCAAAGUUACCCUCUGUGGGAAUCUGCCUGAUGAACAUUUCCUUGUAAGUCACUUCCAUACACAUUUUUCUCUUAUGGUCUUCUUCUGUGAACACUAACCUAAGACAGUGAGUAUAAAUAUAUAUUUCAGAGAGUUUUUUUGUAAAAAAAAGGAAAUUAAAGUUAAGAUUAUUAAAGUCCCAGAGGCAGCUCAAACUCAGCAUUUCUAAAACUGGACCCAUUAACAUUUUCUCCUCAAAUUAGCUUCUCUCCCAAUGUCGCUCUUCUCAGAGAAUGCCUCCAUUAUUUAUCCUGGCACAAAAGCAGAAACUUGGUUUAUUCUCAACUCUUCUGUAGUCAGUUUCCAAAUCUUGUUAUUUCUAUCUCCUUUACAUUACAUACAGGGGGAUCAGUAAGGGCUUAACCAAGAACAAUUUAGGUGUCAUUGCUGACAGUGGGAACCACUGAAGCAUGUUCAACCUUGUUUACCCAAAAUAGAACUUAAAAUAAAACCAUAUCCAUGCCUUUGGGCUUUGUUCUUUGCAGUCCUUUGCAAACUGUGCCCAUGUGCAUCAUGUCAAUUUCAUGUAGACCUUUAGCAAAAAUGGAAAGGAGGAGGGGCUCUCCACCAUGUCCUUGAAGAUUGUUGCGAAGGGUGAGGAAUUGCACAUUUAUUGUCCUUCCUCCAGGCUCUGAGGAAACAAAUAUAAUCUGUGGGGAAAUUCAAUAGAAUCUUAACAAAGAGCAAAGGCAAUAGGUGAAUCUUUGGAGGGGAAACUAAUUAAGCCAAACUGAAAUUAGUAGUUUUGGGUUUGAAAUUCUGCGGGAGUCUGGGCUAUGGAAAACUGGAACAGAGAAAGGAAGCAUACUGGCAGGGAGCUGAUUCAGGGCCCAAGAUUAAUUAUCAUUCACCAUCUAAUUAUGUAGUCUGAAUCACUACCCUGCCAGUUGAGCUCCUUUCCUCCAACACAGGGGAUAAGAAAAGGAUGUGGUUCUGGAAGCUGGGGGUCUUGCUUCUAAUUUUCCCUUAAGACAUAAUAAUAAAGCUCCCCUUUGUCCUUUUCUGAUUAUUAUUUACCAUUUUUAUCUUUUUAAAAGAGCUGCUCUCUUACAGAUUACUUUCUCCUUCCUUGUCAAAUAACCAUUUUGCAUUCUUGUCCUCUGAAUAUAAAAAUGCCAGGUGCAUUCCUACUGAGUAUGUGAUAUAUAUGAGAUGAAAUGCUGGAUAUAAACGCUAUUCAAUUUGCUUAUUUAUACUGCCUACUAUAUGCAGGACGUCUCUUAAGAUAUUUUAGUUUUGCUAAUGGAUUCAAUCAAGGGUAAAUUGUUCUGACUUGCAGUCGUCUACUUCUUACACUAGUCCUAGAAGCUGGGAACUAAUAUUAGCUCCAUUUUGUAGAUGUUUAAACUGGAGUUAGAAAACUUAAGCAAAUUUUCCAAAGUCGCAUGACUAGUAAAUUAAUGGAACCCAAGAUUUAAAGCCAGUCUGAAGUGUCUCAUUCAACCAACCCAUCAUCUUUCAUGUUGAUAAAGUCUGAAUCUACAAUGAAGUCCAUCCACACAUCUAGAUAGAUCUUGCACAAACAUUUCAAUACCAUUUUCAACAAGAAUUACAACAAAAAGAACAAUUAGAAGUUUAUCUUCUGGGUCCUCUCUCUACUAAAAAUAAUUUGCUAGCUUUAUAUUUCCUUUGGGUAAAUCUCAAAAUAAUUCCAGGUAUGGUGCUUGAGCUCCUAUAAACCCAUCUUACUUGUCCAGACUCACCUGUCCUCAAUCAGUAUUAUUGUUAUCAUUAUUAUUAUUAUUAUUAUCAUCAUCAUCAUUAGACUGACCUGGAUUAGAAUCCUCUCUCAAAUUUUGUUUUCUCUUUGUUAAAGCAGGAUAUAGGUAUCACUUCUUUCGUCUGAUUAUGUUAGAAAUAAAUGAGAUAAUACAUGUAAACAGUAAGCAUAGUAUUUGACAUAUAACAAUAAGAGUGAAGUAUAAAAUGCUAUUCCUCUAUUCCUGAAUUCCUUCUUUGAUGCUCUAGAUCCUUGAGAUUCUCCAAACUCUACUGAAGUUUCCUCUCCUCCAGGAAAUUAUUCGUUAUCUGAUCCUAGCUCAUUCCUCACUUGGGCUCCUUCCUUCAUUGUGGUGGGAUUCUGUUCACUGGCCAUUGUCCUGUUGCAUUCAUCUUCUGUGUAUGGUGACAUGUGGGUGGAUAAAUGCUCGUUAACUCCAAAAUGUCAUUCUAAAUAUCCAGACAUAGACACACAAUCUCUGUCCUCAAACAGCUCGUGACAUAAAUGAGGAGACAAGUUAAGCCCACAGAAAAUAGCCAGAGACUGUUGCACUAUUUCUUAGAAUCCACUGUGAUGCAGACUCUGAGAGGUGUGUCUUCUGGUCAUGUACUUGGGAGCUAUUUAUGCACACAUUAUGCACCUGUACUUUGCUGAGCACUCAAGUCAGAAAUUAAUAAAACACUUUGCUUUAAAGUUACUUACAGUCUGUUGAGGCAAAACUGACAUUUUCUCAUUUUUUCUCAAUUCCACUGGUAUUAAUUGAAAGCUUAGUAUCCCAGGAGUGCUCUCAAGGAAAUAAAAAAACAAACAGACGUGUUACCUUCCAUUAUGAAACUUGUACUCUAGUGAAGAGUGAGGUGGUAGUAAACAAGACAAUUUCCAGUAGUAACACGUGGUAUACAGUAAUUGGGAAUGACAGUGGGGAGCUGCUUUAGACUGGGUGGACAGAGAAGACCUUUCUGAGUAGAUGCCAUAGGAUCUAACACCUCGUGUUGAGAAGGAGCCACCCAUUACAAGAGUUAUAAGAAAACAUUUUAAACAGAAGAAGCCUUAAGAGCAAAGGCAGAUUCUAGGAGGAUGUAGCAGUUGUCUACAAUAGAAAUUAGAAAACUUUCUCUGUAAAGGACAGGAUAGUAAAUAUUUUAUGUUUUGGCUGGACAGUAUCUGUCACAGUUACUCAACUCUGCUGUUGUAACACAAAAACAGCAAUAGACAAUAUAUAAGUAAUGGGCUUGAGUUUGUGCCAAUAAAACUUUAUUUACAAAAUCAGGCAGAGGGCAUAACUGGCCUGCCAGCUGUAGUUUGCCAAUCCGUGGUUUACAGUGUUAGACAAAGGACUUGCACAUACUGCAAGAUGUAGCAGACUGUGGUUUCUAAGGUGGUCACACCGCUAUAUCCCAUCUCAAAUGCUCCAAUUACAAUGUUUUGUUGGCAUUCCUCCACCUGGAAAUGGAUUGUAUACUCCCUGUCCUUGAAUUUGAGUGUGCCUGGGACUACAGAAGAUGUGUGCUGCAUGACUUCUGAGGCUAAAUCAUAAAAGAUGAGGCAGUUUUCAUCACCUUUUUUUGGGAUUCACAGCUUAAGAGUUUUGAGCUUACACAUAGAAGAUUAAUCUCCUCUGAAUCUGCUCUGCUGGAGAGAUCACCUGGAGAACCUACAUAGAGUCCUAGCUCUCACCCAUUUCAGUCUUCCCAGCGCAAGUGCCGGCCAAGUGCGUGAGAUAGAUUCCUGAGAGUGAGAUUCCUGGGUUAAAAGAGAUUCCUGGGUCAAAAGUGCAUUUUUAUUUUGAAUAUAUGUUGCCAGGCUUCUUUCCAAAAUGGUGGUAAUAAGUAACAUGUCUACAAGUGAAGAAUAUGAGUACCUUCCUCCCAGCAUCGCCAGCAAUCAGUGUUACCAUAUUUUCGAACCCUUGGCUCUGAGUGGAUAUAUAAGGUAAUACUUCAUUAUUCCCUGUCUACUCACAAACUUGAGCAUCUUUUUAUAUGUCUGUGGUCCAUUUGAAUUUUCUGUUCUGCAAUUUACUUUUAUGUAGUCUUUACCAUUUUGUUUUUUGAUAAUAUGUGAUAAUCUUGUAUAUUACAGAUAGUGGUCCUUUAUCUGUCAUGUGCAUUGUUAUUUCUCCCCAUUCUUCCCAUUUUAUUGAUUUUGCAGUACCUUUUGGCAUGUAUUUAUUUUUUAUUCUUAUGGUCAGUUAUGUCAAUAUUCUUUUUAUUGCUUUUGGGUUUUCAGUGUUUAUUGGGGUCUCCCCAAUCCCUAGGUUGUGUAUGUAUAUGGCCCCUUUGUUAUCUGUAUUUUACAUUUAAAUAGUUUAUUUACUUUUUUCUUUACAUUUAGUGUGAGGUAGAUAUCCAACCUUAUUUUUCUUUGAAAGGAUAAUCACCUGAGUUAGGAUUAUAUAUUAAAUAAUCUUUCAUUUUUCCACUGUCUUGGCAUACUCCCUUUGCCAUAUGUUACUUUUUUUAUAUAUACCGUGAUUGAUUUUUGGAAUAUUUGUGUGGUUUCUCUGUUUGCCUAUUACUAUUCAGUACUACAUUGGUAUGAGUGCAGAGGAGUUGACAUUCAGGUCACGUUCUGUACUGGUUAGUUGUUAUUGCUCAGAGGCUUACAGCAAGAAACAUUUUUUUUAAAUCACUCUCUUAUUUUGUGAGUUGGCUGGGUAGCUCUUCUGGCCUGAGUCACUUUGCUGGGCUUGCCCAUAGACCUGUGGUCAGCUGGUGGUUUGGCCAGUAGCUGGAUGGUUUAGGUUGGUCAUACUCAUGUGUCUGACAGCUGGUAGGCUAUUCACAUUGGUAGGCUGCCUCCAUUUCUUCCACCUGACUUCUCAUCCUCCAGCAGGCUAAUUCAGGCUCGAGUCCACGGUAGUCUCAGAAUUCUGUGUGUGGCAAGAGAAAGAAAGCCUUAACAUGCAAGCACUUUCAACCUUUGUUUGCAUCAUGUUUGCUCAUGUCUAUUGGUCAAAGCAAGUCAAAUGGCCAAAUUCAGAUUCAAGAGAGGUUCAGAUUCAAGAAAGGAAAAAAUAUACUCUGCCCCUGGAUGCAAGAGGUGUACAUGCAGAAACAGGAAGGGUUUGUUGCCAUUUUUGGAAUCUACCACACCGUAAGAAUCUGAAUGAGAAUUUGUUUUCCAGAAUCAAAUCUGAUCCUUCUCUCUCCAGCUUGUAAAUCUCCCAUGGCACCCUUGAUCUUCAGAAUUAACUCCAGAACUCUUAAUAUGGCAUGGUCUGGUCCCUGCCUACCUUGGCAGACUCAUGUCAGCAAUGCCCAUUCACAAUGCCCUGUGUUCCAACAUGCAGAACCAUUUUAUCUUCCUCUCUCCUGUGCCUUUGCCCCAAUUAAGCUUGUGGUAAGGGAUCCUUAUCUCCUCCCUCCGUGUUUCUGCUUUGUUCCACCCUGGAGUCAAAGAUUUUCCUCUGUCUCAUCACCCCCUUGUUGUUCCUAUCCAAAAGAGAAAUGACCAUUUUUCUUGGAGACAGCUGGCAUCCCUUGGGCUUCACACUUGUGUGGAGAUCCUUAAGAAAAAAGUCCCUGUAUUCUUGCACCUGCAACACUUGUGAGAAGCAGCCUCCCCUUUUAUUCCUCAUUACAUGUCGUCUAUCUACCAACACUGCUCCUUUCUCUGAGGAGGCAGCCCAUGUGUGACUGGGUAGAAAGUCACAGGUGAGGUAGGAGGUAAAAGACCCCAUCACAUUUUCCAAUCAGUAGCUUUACAUUUGAAAAUGUUUGGACCCUUGUCCAGUUAUUAAAAAAGCAAAUAAUUCCACCUCCUUUUAGUUAAUUGAUUCUCAUCCUUGUUAGUUACACUGUGGAGAGGAGGAGGGUCAUGUCCUAUGUCUUAUAUACCAGUGUCUGGGAUAUUCUUCUCCUCCUUCUCACUUAUCUAUCCUUUCAAUUAAUAUUCACUGACUUCCCACUGUGUGCAAGGUGCUGAAAAUACAGUCAUGGGUAGGUCAACAUGGUCUCUGUUUUGACAGUGUUUGUGGGUCAAAGUAAAUCUCUUGUAAAGUCAGCUUAAGGAAGCAUGAUAACACAAUAAUAAGGAAAAAUCACCUUUGAAUCUGAGGUCACACUCAGAAGAACUACUAUGACCCCAAUCCCUUAACUUUCCUUCCCCUCCCUUCAGAAUCCCUGAAGUUUCAUGUAUUCUCCUUGGUGAUUAGUAAAGUGUUCUUCUGGUAAUUCCAGGACUGGUAUCUAUUCUCUGCUUUGUGGCUGAAGCCAGAGCUGCUGAUUCUGUCUUGGAUUCAACUCUCUGAGACCGUAGACACUGGACCCUGACAUUCUCACUGCAGCUCUGCAGCUCUGUUUGGGAAGGCGUCACUCCACUGGGGUUAGAACUGUCUGUUUAGCUCCUCUCUGUAGGAGUGCUAGACUUUCAGUUUCUUAUGGGCUUUUCAUUUUUUUAGGAUCUUGGGACAAAUUAUCUGAUGCAGAGAACAUUUUAAUAGAAACACCCUUUUUUUACACCCUAAGGCAUACUGUUGUUAUUAUUAUUGUUAAACUAAUAUUUAGUAUAUACUUGCUGCAUGCCAAAAAUACUUCCUCUUUAAUUCUUAUAGCAACAUUGAGAGUUAAAUCUACCCAUUUUACAGAUGAGAGAUCAAAGGCUCAGAGAAGAGAAGAGCCAUGCUCAGAGACAAGAAAUCCUUUCUCUGUUCCUCAAUCUUAUUCCCAGUUUCCAAGUAUUGAUUUUCAGCCUCAGAGUAUUCUCUCCUAUUCUUUCUAGGAGAUCUUUCAGGUUCUAAAGCAAAAAGCUUGCUUGUGGCCUGUCCUGGCUGUCUAAGGACCCUAAGUUAGCAAACAGAUUAGGUCUUGCCUCUUUCUCAACACAGUAGGACUUAUUCCACUCUACUGUUUGCAUCGAUAAUGUGCCUUUUUUGGGUUGAGUUGUUGGGAGUGGACUCUGUCCUCUUCACCUCUGAAGUCUUGGAGCCCAGCUCAGGAUCUGGCACAUCGCAAUGAAUGCACCUGUUUAAUUAUGAAGAUGAGAUAGGGACUGGACUUUUGCUCUGAUCUAAGAUGUAGAUAUAAUCCAAGUCCCCAGGGAAGUGUACCUGCAUGGAGCUCUGAGUAUUAUAGGACAAAUAAUCACUGUUUUCAUUGUCAAGCCUCUGAUCUUCUGGUGGAACCACCUUACCUGCUAAUGAGUCAGAAAUAGAACACAAAUAAUAGUGGCUACUAUUUAUGGUGUGGUGAUUAUAUGCUCACUCUGAUGAUAAAAUAUUUACAUGGAUUAUCUCAUUUAGUAUUCAUAACACUGAAUAAGAAUGCACUUCUGUUUUUCCUAUUUUAUGGAUGAGAACCCUAUAGUAUAGAAAAACUAAGUAACUUGCCAAUGUCACACUCCAAGUGGCAGAGAUAGGCUUCAAGCAAAGGUAAUAUAACUCCAGUACCUGAGUCUUUAAAAGAGAGAUGACAAACAAUUUCUUCAUGACAUUUCAGAAAAUGUCUUGGAAGCCACAUGGGGUUUUGUUUUGUUUUGGCAUUAACAAGAGCAGUAGGACUGGAGCUGACCCAGUAGUGAGUCAGAAGUCCCAGAUCCCUGUCCUGACUCUGACAACUCGCAUAGUCUUCCUGGGCUACAAUGUCUUCAUUUGCAGAAUGAUAGUUGGAGCUAGCUGGUCAUGACAAAGAUGGCACGGGUUUUACAGUCAGACAAAGUCUAAAAUUGAUUUCACCACAUACUAACCAUGUGCUAGGGUGAGUGACUUAAUCAUUCUAAACAUCUUUUUUUCAUAUCUGGAGUGCGCAUAAUUUAUGAUUUAUUAACUUAUUAUUUGUUAUAAUAAAAGCUGUUGGAGGCAGAUAAAUGUGUUAUAUAAACAGAAAAGCUCAGGUGGGGCUUUUUACAGAUGCCCAGAUCAGUGCUCCAUGACAUCCUCAGGUCCUCCUGCAGGUAAGUCUGGAAGCAGGAUGCAGUUCUCAGAUUCCUGCCUCUCCAUAGCAUCUUUACAUUCAUUGGUGUUCCAGUCCAAGCAGACUUCGUGAUCUGUGCCUGUGGGGCUUGUGGUUUGAAUGUCUAUGGAGUGUGGCUCCUUGGCAGCCAAAAUCAAUGCCAGGAUUCUCCCGAUGGCUCCUUGUUUUAACAACUCAGUUUUCUUGGCACAACCUUUGACUGCCCUGGGUAUAGGAUUCCUGUAUUUUCUCAAUAUCCUCUCUCUGAAGGGCUUGAGGGAGUCUGAGCAAUCCUACCACCCUUCCUUCAUUUUAUACUCUUGGGAUCUUUACUAAGGGACUGCUAUACACAGGGGGAAAAAGAAAAACAAAACCCUCAACUGACAGAAAAAUGCUUUGUUAAUAGCCAAGAAUCCCAGACACGCUAAUAUACAAAUCUUUGACAGCUUUGAAAUAGAAUGUGACAAAGUAGGGAUGAAGUGGGGUGUCUUGUCUCCCCCAAAUUUAGAGUCAUGGGCUAAAGCAUGCGUAUAAGGGAAGGAAGAUUUAAGCACUGAGUUCCCUGAAAAUAUUCACUCAACCAAGCAGAUGCGUGGGAAGAUGGAAGCCAAGAAGGGGGACUAGCCUGCCCUACAUCUCAGGCUCUGCCCAGGAGAGUUUAUUGCACCAGGAGACAGGAUGAGAAAGAGAUGGGGCAACCUGGGUUCCUGCCCUACAAGGCACAGUGGCCGUGCCCUCCAGUAAAUGUGGCCCAAUGAAUACAGGGAUCUGAUCAGUCAACUCAACAGCACCUCUUUCUGGAAGAGGGAUUCAGGAUGAAGUAGAGAUGGAUAGCCCUGGCAUGAAAAACAAUCUUUGACAUUUGAAGGAAAAGUUCUGGAAAUAUCCUCCCCUAUGACUUAUUAAUCACAAAGGAUUUAAUAUACUCCCUUUUCAAACAGCCAGAUAAUUCACUGGAGAAAAAAAAUUCUUGUUAAAUUUCUAGAUUAUCAAGGUGGGAAGGAUUAUUGAAGACAUCUAGUUUACCAACUCAUCUUUUGGAUGAAUAAAUUAAUAAACUAAGGUCUAGAAAAAAGAAGUGAUUUGCCUAAAGUAGAAUUCCAGGAGGGCCAGGCCAUGGCUUAGUGGUUAAGUUUGCGUGCUCCAAUUAGGCGGCCUGAGGUUUGCUGAUUCGGAUCCAGCUUGAAGAGCACAGCUCAUCAAGCCAUGCUGUAGUGGUAUCCCACAGGGAGGAACUAGAAUGACUCGCAACUAAGGUAUAAAAUUAUGUACCGGGGAGAAAAAAAUGAAAGUGGAGAAUUGGCAACAGACAUUAACUCAGGGCCAAUCUUCCUCACCAAAAAAUAAAUAAAUAAGUGGAUAAAGCAAUACCUUUUUUAAAAAAAAGAAUUCUAGGGUUCCAGAUUACUUAAUUUAUACCUCUAAUCUGGAAAUGCUGUUAUAUUGUUUUCUUCAUUUCUUUUUCCUCUUAUGCUUCUUCCUUCUUGUCACUUUUUUCCCUUCUAAGCCUAGUGUAUACCCCACCUAUAUUCACAAAGGAUUUAUUAAUAUACACAGAAGAAUAUUAAUAGAGCAAUUCAUUCCUAGGUAUGUACCCAGUAGAAACAAGGUCACAUAUCCACCAAAAUAAUUAUACAUAUAUGUUCUUGUCAGCUUUAUUGAUAAACUGUCAAACUAGAAACAACUCAUAUGCCCAUCAACAGAAACAUGGGUAAAAUAUUGUGAUAUAUUUAUACUACAGAAUACCAAGCAGCAAUAAAAAGGACAAACUAUUGGUAAACACAACAACAUAGUUGGACUUUAAAGACAUUAUAUUAAAUAAGAGAAGCCAGACACAGAGGAUAGUAAACCCUAUGAUUCAAUUUAUAUGAAGUUCAAGAAUGGCCAAAACUAAUCUAUGGAUGGGAGUCAGAGUAAUGAGGUUGAAUAUGGUAGAUCUUGAUUGGGAAGAAGCACAAGGUAAGCUUAUAGGAGCGUAAAAAUAUUCUAUAUCUUGUUCAGGGUGUUGGUUAUAUAAGCGCAUACAUGUGCAAAAAAUACAUUGGCCUGUGCACUUUAUAGUAUAUAAAUUAUACCUAUGUUUAAAAAAAUCUUUCAAAGAGCAAUAGAAAAGCUGGAACUAUGCUAAUGUGGAGGAGAAUUAACAUAUCCAAAACCUAGGCUAACAGAUUACUGUAAUUGAAUAUCAAAUUUAAUUUUGAAAUAGCAGCAAAUGAAAAAAUUCCUAAUCAUUUGCUGCUCCCGUUUUCUUAAAUGAAAAUUAAAAUCAUCAGGAGAGAGAUAUUUUAGAAGCCAUAUUCUCCUUCUAAAAUGAACUUAUCAUGUAAUAUUUUAAAUAAAAGACAUUGAACAAUAUAAUGGACAAAAUCUCUGAUUGUAACUCAGUAGAAAUGUUGAGAUAUCUUAAUACGCCCAUUUUUUUUCUACCAGUCUUUCAUAAAGCUGACACAUAUAUAUAAUGAUGAUAUUUUCUUAGAGGAAAAUAAGUUAAUGAGAUCCAGGUGAGCAUCAGUUAGCUAACUCCCAGAGACAGAGAGCUUAGCCCAACACAUCUCCACAGACAUACACAGGUGAUGCUUUUGCUUUUGGAACAAGGACCACACUUUGAGUAACAAGGACAAGGACUUAGACCACUUAGGAAGUGUGUUUACUCAUCAUUUGUAUUAUUUAUAUUGGGAUUAUUGUUAAAAGUUAGAUUUCUGGUCUCCCUUUCCCCAGGAGGUGGGAUCAAGGAUGCUGCUUCUUUUAAAAAAUAAAUUUCAAGAAGAGUAUGGUGUACACUAAAAUUUUGGAGCCGCUGACUUAGAGAAAUGGAUUUAUGGCAUGCCCCGUACAAUUUCCUGGGAGUAUAAUUGUUGUAGCUGGUUUCACACAACAGGAGAAAGAAAGGGAAAGGGAAAGAACAUAUUUUCAAGGCCUUAUAUACAUCAGUCACUUAUUGGAUGUGCAAUUAACUUUAGUUAAUUUAAUCCUAAUGAAUAUUCUAUGAGGUAGGAAUUGUCAAUAUUCUAGAAUUAAAAAGUAACAGAUGAUCAUUAUUGAGCACAUAAUAUUCCUAGACUCUGUACUAAAUGCUUUAAAACCACUAUCUGAAAGAGCAGCCCAGUGAAUAGGCUCUUGUUUCAUCUCAGUUUUACAGUUCAAACAAUGGAGCCUUAGAGAAAUUCAGUCCCUGUAGAAUCUGGCUGACGAGAGCUCAACCCUCAACCACUACGAGUAGGACCUCGCUCAACUGACACCACACAGCAAGCAGCGAGGCCACGAUGCAACCCAGAUAUUUUAUUUUUGUUUUUAUUUUUUACUUCAACUAUAAUACUUUGACCAAUUGGCACAUAUUAUUUUCCUUUCAUUUUGCUGUUAUUACUCCAUCCUUCAAUUAUUUUGCUUUGAGGAGCAUCAAUGAAAAGACUUAGUGGCUCAGACUGUAAUUGUUAACAUCUGUAUAGUAUUUUACAGUUCAUAGUAUUUUGUGUAUAAAAUACUUUGGCUGAUUUCAUUCUCUAAACCACAUGUAUCCUCAUUUUGUAAAUGAGGAAACCAAGGGACAGGGAAAGGUAAUUAAGUUAUCUGGAAUUCAGACUCCAAACUCCAAAUCUAUGAGCUUCCACUAGGCCAGGCUGCCAAGAGAAAAGGGAGCAGAAAAAUAACAUGGGAGAGUGGGGAAAGCAAUCACGAGGGACCCAGCAGCGUUGCAUUCCAGUCCUGGCUCUGCCACCAGCUGGAUCAACCUCCAGCAAUCUGAUUUCUGUCUUUGGGCAAUAGCUUUACAAUCUUAAACUAAGGGUUUAGAAUAGACAAGUUAUUUUCAAAUAGUGUUGGCUCAUUUUUAUCAAAACCCUUUCUCUGAAAGAAAUCUUACAACAGACUAUUAACUCAUAAAGCAAAUCUUACAGCAGACAGUUAACAACUGGAGCACUGGGAACCCACUCCUUUCCAUUCUAGGGCGGAGCAGGAAUUGUGUCUGUUUUGUUCACUAAGUUUCUAGUUCAGGGUGUGACACAUGUAGGUGCUCAUUAAAGGCUUGUUGAAUGUAUAAGGCUGCUUUAAGGAUUCCUUACAGCUCCACGGGGCACAGUGUCAAGACUAUCAGAUCAACAGGUCUCAGGCUUUCCUGUGAAUCUGAGGCCAAUUUCUUAGAAAGUAAAACUUCUCGUAAGAGUUCAGAUCAAAAGCGGAGAUUUCUCUGGCUACCCCUUCGUGUUCAGGGACCUCAGGUGUUUCCAGGCAAAGUCAUUUCCACAAGGACAGAGUUCUACAGUGUUAUUUUUCAUAUCAUUCUGUAGGAUAUGCUUAGGGAUUGCAUGCUUUUUCCUACAUUCUUUCUCAAGAAAAUACCAACUGAAUAACAAAGCAAAACAGACAAAAUCUAGAUUUACUUAGUAAUUUCUUUUUAAUUUUCUUACCCACUGUGAACUCUGUGCACAAAUCCUUCUCAUAGUUCUUCUGAAAAGUUCCUGGCUUCUCAUGAAAACUAGUUUUAUUUCUUGUUGUCUACAUAUCUAACUAUGACACAACUGAGAGUUUAUCCUCUUAUUUUUGGAUUAUUUUUUAAACACUUUUUAAUAUGAAAAAUUUUAAAGAUACAAUACAGUAGAAAGAAUUACUAAUACAAUAUUUAGAAUGAUUUAGAAUUAUUAGUCUAAUAAAUCUUCAUAUACUCAUAGAUUCUACAUUGCCAGGAAUUUGUCGCAUUUACUUUGUUUAUCCCCAUUUUCUCUUUUUUUCUUUCUGAAGAAUUUCAAAGAAAAUCCAGACACCAUGUCAUUUCACCCCUACUUCAGUAUACUGUCAAGAUUGUGUUUUUCUUUAUUUUGGGCAAGAAGGAAAAUAUAUCUUAAACUUUGGGAAGGAGAGUGCACAUGGCUCACUCUUGCUUAUAUUUUUUAACGGACUCAGUUAUUUAUUCAAGUAAAUUGGUAAGAGUCAGGCUCACACAAAUGAUUUCUGCAUAUGUGUAUAAAUACUUAGUGUUGUGCAAAAGACGCUGUCUAUAUUUCCUUAUUUAAUCCCUGUAACUAUUUCCUAUGGUAGGGACUACUGCUCUCCCUAUUUUACAGAUGAAAGAACUGAGACUAGAAAAUGAACAGCUCGGGGCUCAACCUCAGAGCUGAUGCUGUGCACAGCCUGCCAUAUUGCAAGUGAGAUUUAGUUUCUGCUUAGCAUACAUGGCUUUCUUUCACUUUCCUUUAGAAUUGCAGCACGUGCUAUAAGGACACCAGAAAUUUGUAUGAGGCGAUAGUGCUCAGCCCUGGUUCACCAUUAGAAUUAUCCCAUGCCCAGAUACUUUCUCAGACCAACUGAAUAAAUCAGGAUUUCUCAAGGAAAUUCCCCAUUCCAGAAUUUUCAGAAUCUCCUUAAGUAAUGGCUGGGACUGAAGACCAUUAAUCCAUUCUAGGGAAAACUCCUCUUAUCCACGUGAGGAGAGUAAAGCCCAUUGAGAUAAAAGGUUGAUUCAAUGUCUCAUAGUUCAUUCCUGGUAAAUCUGGGCCCAAUACACAUAAAGGAAGUGAGGCAUAAUCCUUUGGUUUCAUCUUUUUGUUGCAAAGACAGUGGACACAGAGAUUAUUUCUCAUGUUGUUUGUGAGAAUACACGCUUUUAUCUAUAUUCAGGGACUUGACGUUCAGUCCAUUAUCACAUCUAAAUCUUUGCUGUCCAGGCUUUGUGUUGUGUUCCUUGUCACAUGUGCAGCCCAUACCUGGCCUUCUUCCCUGAUGACUAUGGUAAUUUAGGAGUCUCACAUGCUUUAGAAUUUUGCCAUGCAAUGCUUGACCCUGCAGGAUUAGUUUAUUUUUGAUUAGCUAAUGCAGUGUGAUGGACUCUUUAUUUAGUUUCUGAAUCUAUGUGUUACGAGGAACAUGGUUAAGAUUAGAGCUCAUUCAGAACAGCGUUUUUAAAAUUGCUGGUUGUUACACAUUAGUAGGUUAUGAAAUAAAUUUAUGUUAUGACCAGCAUCUGAGAAAACCAGACUAGAAUAAAACAGAAAAAGAGAAAACAUGAGAGUUCAUUGCAGAUAAUAAGUGGUGUGUGUGUGUGUGUGUGUUUGUAUGAAGAGGCUCAUAAUGUGAAUGCAUUUGUUUGGUGGAAUGAUUAUAUAAGAAGUCGGGAACCAUUGUUCUGGAAGAUGUGACUGAGUAGUAUAGGAUCUUGAAAUGAUAUUACAUAAGAAAUGGUAGAACAAAGUGAGAACGUUGGCUCUUUCUCUUAGAAUAUCACUAUGUAUUCUCAUCUCUAUCUCCCUUGUGUCUUGUUCUUUCUCUUAUUUUCUUAUUCAAAAAAGUACACACAGACACACAUAAACACAUAUAGUUAUGCUUAAAUAUAAACAUUAGUAUAAAAUAUAUAAGAGUUGACUUUCAAUAUUUUGUAAUACAGCAUUGUGUGCAAAAGAAUUAUAUUUCUUCUAAGUAACUCCAGAAGGCAGAACUGAGAGAGUUAGGACACUAGAUGAAAUGGAUGGAGAUCAUGGGACACUAGAUUUUGGUGCAUAUGACCAAGUUUUACUGACCACUAGUCUGCCUUACAAGAGUGAGCUCCCUGUCUUUGUAUUAUGUAAAAGUAUCUCAAGGUGAUCAUUUGCCAAAGUUUUUAUGUUAGAUUGAAGAUCUGGGCCUAUAGCUAAGGUGCCUUCCAGUUUUCUGGGGUCCAUGAACAAAUAUCAUUUGUAAAAAGCCAGGGGUAAAAAAGAGUGUUGCACAUCCAUGAGAUAAUUAGAUGCAAAUAGUCAAAUGUGCCUAAAACAUAGAUAGUGGAGUGUAGGGGCUGUAGAAUCAAGAGGAGUGUACUCAUGUAAGGUCUUCUAAAGCUAAUAUGAAAAUGUUUGAUUUUAUCAUGAGAUCAGUGGUACACCAUUAUGGAGUUCUAAGCAAUAGUCUGAUCAGAUGUGUACCUCGAAAGUCUGGUUUGCAGGAGGAUAGGUUAGGUAGUGGUUGCUGUGAUCCAGGACAGCUAGAUGAUAGUUUUGAUUGGCAGGUAAAAUGUGAACAGAUUCAGGAGCUAUCCAGGAGAUAGACUCAGCAGGACUUGGGGUUUGAGUGGACAUGGAGAAUAAUGAAGACGAAAACAAGCAUAUGCCAGCAUGACUAAAAGCCCAGUCUCGGGAGUCAGAAAAAACUCUGGGAAAAGUCUACAUCCUUCCUUGAACCACUUCUGAGUUUUGUGCCUGUAGACAAUUGAAGCUUCAGAUCCUUCAUCUAUAAAAUGGGCAUCGUAACAGCUCUUUUUAUUUUUUAAACCCUCUGCAACUCGUUUUUUGUUGUUGUUGGGAAAGACUCACCAUGAGCUAACAUCCGUUGCCAAUCUUCCUCUCUCUCUUUUUUUUUUCUCCCCAAAGUCCCAGUCCAUAGUUGUAUAUUCUAGUUGUAAGUCCUCUUAGUUCUAUGUGAGCCACCACCACAGCAUGGCUACUGAAAGAUGAGUGGUGUGGUUCCAUGCCUGUGAACUGAUCCUGGGAUGCCAAAAUGGAGCCUGCUGAACUUUAACCACUAGAUGAUCAGGGCUGACUCCUCGCAGGUAUUACUUCAUAGAAGUGACAUAAGAAUUUAAUAGAGUAAGGUAUGUAAGUGCUCAAGAGCUAUUUUUUUCUAAAGAUGUUAUUUUUUAGAGAAGGUUUAUGUUUACAAGAAAAUUGAGAGGACGGUACAGAGAUUUCCAGCAUACCCCCUACCCCCACACAUGCACAGCCUCCCCAACUGUCAACAGCAUUCACCAGAGUGGUACACUUAUCUUUUUUUACCAAAGAUGAACUUAUAUUGACAAAUCAUAAUCACCCGGAGUCCAUAGUUUACUUAAAGUUUCACUCUUGGUAUUAUACAUUCAUUGGUUUUGGACAAAUGUAUAAUGUAAACAUUAGGACAAAUGUAAAAGUAUAUUGAUUGUUAAAAUAUCAUGCAGAGUAUCUUCACUUCCCUAAAAAUCCUCUGUGCACUGCCUAUUCAUCUUCUUUCCCUCUCCAGCAACCACUGAUCUUUUUGUUAUCUCCAUAGUUUUGCCUUUUCCAGAAUGUCAGAGUUGGAAUCAUACAGGAUGUAGCCUUCUCAGAUUGGCUUCUUUCACUUAGUAAUAUGUAUUUAACUUUCCUCCAUGUCAUUUCACAGCUUGAUAGCUCAUUUCUUUUUAGCACUGAAUAAUAUUCCAUUGUCUGAAUGGACCAGAAUUUAUUUAUCCAUUCACCUAUUGAAGGACAUCUGGGUUGACAAGAGCUAUUUUUAAUAUUGUGAAAUGGAAAUUGUGUAAAAUUUUCUUUACACUUUGUGGGCUCAAUCAUUCUCAUAAAAAUAUCCCAUCAUUUUUAUAAAAUACCUCUCUGUCUAUAUGAUAAAAUGUCACAUCUAAGUUAGAGGAUGAAGUGAGCCACAAUGCCUGGAGAGAACAAAAUCAUAUAAGCAGUUCCCGUUAGGAAUUCUGUCUUAACAAGGCUUGACCUUGUCUGGGUGUGCUAAACAUUAUGCAAAAAUCGAAGAUAGAAAUCUAUUAGGAUCUCAGCUAUUUGAAUUUACUCCACUCUUUCACUUUGUUUCCUGCUGUCACACACAGAUUUAAAUCCCAAUGUUAAGAAAAACUAAUUCUAAAAUUUAAAAAAUGAGGAAACAAAGCAUUAUUUAGCUCGAAGUCACAACAAGAACUGUCUGUUCCAAAUCCUUCAUUUGGAAACAGGAUUUUCUCCCCUGUUGUUCUCUAAACCAAAGGCCUUAAGCUGGAGCUCUCUGGCAUAAAUAACUGAAACCAAAUAUAGAUUCCUCCAAAUGCUAUUGGUAAAAAUUGUAAAUAGAAUCUUAAUUAUAAUACAUAUUCAUAGACCUCGGUGACCCAGGGAAAAAAGAAGAUUGAUAGAUUUAUUAUUUGAUAACCCAUUUUUGUUGGUAGAAAGGUGGUGUAUCCUUUCAAUAUUCAUCAUCUUUGUGUAAUCAAUUGGUCUGGUGAGAAUUCACCUCAGUCCACAUCUGUGUAGAGGAAAAAUAUGGUAGAAACUGCCUUAAUUCUGGCCUCCCUUUUACAUCUCCGCUGACACUGUCUAAUGAUCUGUUUCCAAAUUAUUCCCACAGCCUUUGAACUCAUCUUGGUGUUCUCAGAUUCUUACUUCUGCAGCCACCUUCCAUAUUAACAGUCGAUCCCUUAUAACAUCUCUAAGGACAUUCCGAUCUCUAUCUUGGCCCUGUGUUAGAAAACUGAUGCAUACACUCUUUGGCAACAGGAGAGUAUGGGACUCAUUCAAUGAGUUGCCUGUCUUCUCUAAAUAGAUCUUAGCUUAUUGUAGUGAUAUGCUGGAGUUAGAGUACAUCUGUUGAUUAGGAGGGCUGAUUGUGCACAUCUGUUCCCAACUCCCCGUCAGUGACAUCACAUUGCUAGUUUAAAAUAAGGCAUGGUAGGAGUAUUUAUACCAUGGAAAUGGGCAAACACACACACAUCACACUUUUUCCUCUGGAGAGAUGGUUGUUAAACCCUUACCAGAAUGCCACUGAUCAUUUGUCACUUCCUGAUCUCUUAAAUUAAAGCCUAUGGUAUAUGGUUAUGCUAACAUAACCAUGCUCCUCUCCUUUGUAGCACUUACCUUAGUUAUAAGUUGAUGUUCAUUUCCAGUGGGAAGAUUAAUUGAGAUAGUGUAUAUUAAGUACUGAGUAUAGGUUUUGGAACAAGGUGUUCAAUCUAUCUAAGUUAUUAAGCUUAUUUAUUAUUGUGUAAUAAGUGUUAUUUUCCCCUCCACAACACUGUAAGUUCCAUGAAGGCAGAACACUAUUUGUUUUCUGUCCUCAGGAUCUAGCAUAGUACACGGUUCAUGGGGGAUGAACAGCUACAUUGUCAUAAAGGAGUAAAUGUAGUAACUAUUUUCUGCUGAUGAUACCCCAGCUCUCGGACCCUCCACAACCCAAUUCCCCACAUCUUUGCUGCUCAGAGUAAGAAAGCCUGGAUUUGACAUUACCUGUGGAGGAAGUGUGGGUAAGGGUCCUACUUUGGCUACCUAGGAUUCUUCAUGUCAGUGGUCAUAAAUGUUUGAGCCUGUCUCUGUCUUUCAGUGCAUUAUUAAUAUGAGGACAGAUUUCCUGAGACUAAGUAACAUUUAAAAAAUAUUUAGUGGCUAGGAACAAGUGUAUCUUGGGGAUUCAUAUCUAGAAAAUAGACUUAAUUAGAUACUUAACCAUUCACUAUUAUCCUCUCCCCUCUGUGUAGUAAUCUGGCUUUGAUUUGGUUACUAUGGCUGUCCCCAAAAUGUCGUUGUUUUAAGAAAUUGCAUUUUUUUCCAAUUGUCAGUUCUAAGGAUGCUACUAAAAGAUAGUUAUGAGGUAUCUUUAGUCUUCAUUUUCUCAGUUGACUCAUUAGCGGGAAUGUAGCUCAAGUGUGGCUUCAUUAAGUCUUUUCAUUGAUGAGAGUACAUUCACAUAAAAUGUCAGCCUCCCAACACUGACUUUCAUCCAUGCCAGCCA